UGGGGAAUCUUCCGCAAUGGACGAAAGUCUGACGGAGCAACGCCGCGUGAGUGAAGAAGGUUUUCGGAUCGUAAAACUCUGUCUUUUGGGGCGAACGUGAGUAUGGUGAACAAUCAUAGUCAGUGACGGUACCAAAGGAGGAAGCCACGGCUAACUACGUGCCAGCAGCCGCGGUAAUACGUAGGUGGCAAGCGUUGUCCGGAAUUAUUGGGCGUAAAGAGCGCGUAGGCGGGAUAGUCAGUCUGUUGUAAAGUGCGGGGCUCAACCCCGUGAUCGCAAUGGAAACAGCUAUUCUUGAGUGCAGGAGAGGAAAGUGGAAUUCCCAGUGUAGUGGUGAAAUGCGUAGAUAUUGGGAGGAACACCAGUGGCGAAGGCGACUUUCUGGACUGUGUCUGACGCUGAGGCGCGAAAGCCAGGGGAGCGAACGGGAUUAGAUACCCCGGUAGUCCUGGCCGUAAACGAUGGGUACUAGGUGUGGGAGGUAUCGACCCCCUUUCCGUGCCGGAGUUAACGCAAUAAGUACCCCCGCC
rnacentral:rRNA from 1 species